rnacentral:rRNA from 1 species
GAUGAACGCUAGCGGGAGGCUUAACACAUGCAAGUCGAAGGGCAGCACGUCUUCGGAUGGUGGCGACUGGCGAACGGGUGCGUAACGCGUAUGCAACCUACCCUCAACAGGGGAAUAGCCCAGAGAAAUUUGGAUUAAUACCCCAUAGUAUUACAGAUUCGCAUGUUUCUGUGAUUAAAGUUCCAACGGUUGAGGAUGGGCAUGCGUGACAUUAGCUUGUUGGUGAGGUAACGGCUCACCAAGGCAACGAUGUCUAGGGGUUCUGAGAGGAUGAUCCCCCACACUAGUACUGAGACACGGACCAGACUCCUACGGGAGGCAGCAGUGAGGAAUAUUGGACAAUGGAGGCAACUCUGAUCCAGCCAUCCCGCGUGCAGGAAGAAGGCCCUAUGGGUUGUAAACUGCUUUUUAUACAGGAAUAAACCCCUNUACGUGUAGAGGGCUGAAGGUACUGUAAGAAUAAGCACCGGCUAACUCCGUGCCAGCAGCCGACGG